rnacentral:rRNA from 1 species
UACAGAGGGGGCGAGCGUUAUUCGGAAUUAUUGGGCGUAAAGGGCGCGUAGGCGGCCUUUCAAGUGACGGGUGAAAUCCCUCGGCUUAACCGAGGAACUGCCUGUCAGACUGGAAGGCUUGAGACCGGGAGAGGUGAGUGGAAUUCCCAGUGUAGCGGUGAAAUGCGUAGAUAUUGGGAGGAACACCAGUGGCGAAGGCGGCUCACUGGACUGGUACUGACGCUGAGGCGCGAAAGCGUGGGGAGCAAACGGG